CCCGUGACCAGAGCGGCGGUGGUGGGCGUUUUGCUCCUGACGGUGCUGUGUCACGCAAGUCCCUCCCCCUUGUUCUCCGGACCGUCUCCCUUGGUGGUCGUGACGCCCGCGGACGCUGACUCUGUCUCAGUAUGUCAAGGAACAUCGUAUGGCCUGUCAGCAUCGCCGGGGGAGAAUACCUACCUUGACCUCAAAAAACGUUACUCAAACUGUACUCUUGUUGACGGGAAUCUCGAACUGACCUGGUUGCAGGGCCGUGACCUUGACCUCUCCUUCCUGCAAGAUAUCAGAGAGGUAACGGGAUAUGUCCUCCUUGACCACGUGGCCGCCCACAACAUACGCCUUCCUUCCCUCACUCUCAUCCGGGGAACGUCACUCCUUCCGCCGCCCACGAGCGACUUCCAACGCCCACGCUUUGGGCUCCUGGUCGC